GGAUGUGAGGGCCAUCUGGCUGCGACAUCUGUUACCCCAUUGAUCGCUGGGGUUGAUUCGGCUGAUCUGGCUGGCUUGGCAGGUGUCCCCUUCCUCCCUCACGGCUCCAUGUGCAUCCCUCCCGAAGCUGCUGCACCCCCUAUGGAACAGGAUGGCCCUCCCGGAAUAGAGACUGAGUAGUCUUCAGUCGAGGGUAUAAGAGUAGCUGCGCUCCCCUGCUAAAACCUCCAAACAAGCUCUCAAAGUGAUAGCCAGCUUAUCUCUAAUUAGGAAAAUAAGAAUAAAGGUGCAUAUAACACAUGACCCAAUUU
ensembl:misc_RNA 7SK 7SK RNA